AACGCAUAUUGCACACUCUGAUAUUCCGGAGAGUACACCUGUUUCAGUAUCAAAAUGAUAUCUAAAAUUUGGUUCGUUUGCUUUUCACACGGGUCGAACUUUGUGAGUUGGGUUUUGCAAACUUUUUAGUUUUGCUGGUUUUAAAUAAUUUAGCCAUAUUAUGAAAGUUAAGGUGAUAAGGCGUAAUAGUUGGUACUUUCGCUGAAGCCUUUCUUUUCUGAAAUUUUGGCUCAAUAAUAUGGAAAAUGAAAUAUAUUUAUAUUUCAUCAUUGUUUAGAUCUGAAAUCAGGUGGGACUACCCGCUGAACUUAA
rnacentral:misc_RNA from 1 species